UACGUAGGGCGCAAGCGUUGUCCGGAAUUAUUGGGCGUAAAGAGCUCGUAGGCGGUUUGUCGCGUCUGCUGUGAAAACUGGAGGCUCAACCUCCAGCCUGCAGUGGGUACGGGCAAACUAGAGUGUGGUAGGGGAGACUGGAAUUCCUGGUGUAGCGGUGAAAUGCGCAGAUAUCAGGAGGAACACCGAUGGCGAAGGCAGGUCUCUGGGCCACUACUGACGCUGAGAAGCGAAAGCAUGGGGAGCGAACAGG
rnacentral:rRNA from 1 species